AGUGUUCUGCCAAAGCUGCCCACAGUCUUUUGUUCCUGUCCUACAUAGAAAAAUAGAGCUCUGUCCAGCUAAAUCAAGAUUGCUACUUUUCCCUCUUCCCUGGAGAAACCUGAGGAAGAAAAGUGUAUUUUUCCUCUGGAAAGCUGCUCCCAACCCUGGUUAGCUGGAGGCCCACAUUUGAAUGGCUGAAUGCUGCAGAAUCUUGGAAAGGCCUGUGUGCAGAGUAAACCACAUAACAGGUUUUAAUCUGAUAGCAGCGCAUCACUGGAAACGAGAGUUGAGGGUUGUUAGAGAACCAAGUGUGUCUGCUUUGUGAACUUCAUGGAAAACAAACCUGUGCAUACACUAGAUUUUUAUCAAGACAUUCUGUAAACAAAGACAUCUUUGGCGUAUAUGAAAUUAUAUUUGAAUUACAAUUUCCAACAUCUUCUAUAGGAUAAUGCUUUGAGAUUGUGCACCUUUUAUGAGCAGCAAUUCACAGUGACAUUGUGGCUUGUAAGGGAGGACAGAAACCUGCCACAAUUCUGUCAUACAUUGAGAUCAUGCUUUCACUCUAAAAUGGCUUAAAACCCCACACAGAGU